rnacentral:sRNA from 1 species
GUAAGAUGCAAGCUCAGGUAACA